rnacentral:SRP_RNA from 1 species
GCUGGGCGUAGUGGCGCACGCCUGUAGUCCCAGCUACUCGGGAGGCUGAGGCAGGAGAAUCGCUUGAACCUGGGAGGCGGAGGUGGCAGUGAGCUGAGAUUGCGCCACUGCACUCCAGCCCAGGUGACAGAGUGAGACUCUGUCUCAA